rnacentral:tRNA from 2 species
GCGCACGUGGCGGAAUUGGUAGACGCGCUAGCUUGAGGGGUUAGUGGGAAUUUUCCCGUGGAAGUUCGAAUCUUCUCGUGCGCA